AUUGAACGCUGGCGGCAGGCCUAACACAUGCAAGUCGAACGGUAACAGGAAGAAGCUUGCUUCUUUGCUGACGAGUGGCGGACGGGUGAGUAAUGUCUGGGAAACUGCCUGAUGAGGGGGAUAACCACUGGAAACGGUAGCCAAUACCGCAUAACCUCGCAAGACCAAAGAGGGGGACCUUCGGGCCUUUUGCCAUCGGAUGUGCCCAGAUGGGAUUAGCUAGUAGGUGGGGUAACGGCUCACCUAGGCGACGAUCCCUAGCUGGACUGAGAGGAUGACCAGCCACACUGGAACUGAGACACGGUCCAGACUCCUACGGGAGGCAGCAGUGGGGAAUAUUGCACAAUGGGCGCAAGCCUGAUGCAGCCAUGCCGCGUGUAUGAAGAAGGCCUUCGGGUUGUAAAGUACUUUCAGCGGGGAGGAAGGGAGUAAAGUUAAUACCUUUGCUCAUUGACGUUACCCGCAGAAGAAGCACCGGCUAACUCCGUG
rnacentral:rRNA from 1 species